rnacentral:tRNA from 1 species
GCCGAAGUGGUGAAAUUGGUAGACACGCUACCUUGAGGGGGUAGUGAGCUUACGCUCGUGGAGGUUCAAGUCCUCUCUUCGGCACCA